rnacentral:rRNA from 1 species
UCUGGGUCCACCUCCCACCCGUGUUUAUUUUACCUUGUUGCUUCGGCGGGCCCGCCUUAACUGGCCGCCGGGGGGCUCACGCCCCCGGGCCCGCGCCCGCCGAAGACACCCUCGAACUCUGUCUGAAGAUUGAAGUCUGAGUGAAAAUAUAAAUUAUUUAAAACUUUCAACAACGGAUCUCUUGGUUCCGGCAUCGAUGAAGAACGCAGCGAAAUGCGAUACGUAAUGUGAAUUGCAAAUUCAGUGAAUCAUCGAGUCUUUGAACGCACAUUGCGCCCCCUGGUAUUCCGGGGGGCAUGCCUGUCCGAGCGUCAUUGCUGCCCUCAAGCCCGGCUUGUGUGUUGGGCCCCGUCCUCCGAUCUCCGGGGGACGGGCCCGAAAGGCAGCGGCGGCACCGCGUCCGGUCCUCGAGCGUAUGGGGCUUUGUCACCCGCUCUGUAGGCCCGGCCGGCGCUUGCCGAUCAACCCAAAUUUUUAUCCAGGUUGACCUCGGAUCAGGUAGGGAUACCCGCUGAACUUAAGCAUAUCAAUAAGCGGAGGAACCGAGUGAGGGCCCUCUGGGUCCAACCUCCACGUGUUUAUUUUACCUUGUUGCUUCGGCGGGCCGCUUAACUGGCNNGGGGGCUCANCGGCGCGCGCCNCNAAGANACCUCGAACUCUGUCUGAAGAUUGAAGUCUGAGUGAAAAUAUAAAUUAUUUAAA